AGGAGACAAGCCCUGGAUUCCCAAAUCUUCCUAGUCAGGGUUCAGCAUUGAAGACAGGACACUCAUCAUGGACUUAAGACUCAUAUCUAUUUCGUUUGUUCUUAUUUUAAAAGGUGUCCAGUGUGAGGUGCAGUUGCUGGAGUCUGGGGGAGGCUUAAUGCAGCCUGGAAAGACCCUGAAACUCUCCUGUGCAGCCUCUGGAUUCACCUUCAGUGAUUAUUACAUGAACUGGGUCCGCCAAGCUCCAGGGAAGGGACUGGAGUGGGUCGCAGAGAUUAAUGCAAAUGGUGGUAGCACCUGGUAUACUGACGCUGUGAAGGGCCGGUUCACAAUCUCCAGAGACAAUUCCAAGAACACUCUGUACCUGGAAAUGAGCGGUCUGAAGUCUGAGGACACAGCCAUGUAUUACUGUGCAAGAGGCACAGUGAGUGAAUGCUACUGUGAGCUCAGACAAAAACACCCCCGUGAAGAACACAGAACCAGCAGGGGGCGCGGAGAGCACUUAGCUAUCUGGGUCACAGUAGAGCCUGCUCAGAGAAGUGUGGAAGACCGGACUUCUCUGUGUCUGUCUGUACUGCCUCUCCAUAUCACACUUAGGUAUUUUCUCUACAGGUACAGUGUGUAG